GAUCCAGCCAUGCCGCGUGUGUGAAGAAGGCCUUUUGGUUGUAAAGCACUUUAAGCGAGGAGGAGGCUACCGAGAUUAAUACUCUUGGAUAGUGGACGUUACUCGCAGAAUAAGCACCGGCUAACUCUGUGCCAGCAGCCGCGGUAAU
rnacentral:rRNA from 1 species